AUUGAACGCUGGCGGCAGGCCUAACACAUGCAAGUCGAACGAGUGGCGGACGGGUGAGUAAUAUCUGGGAAACUGCCCGAUGGCGGGGGAUAACUACUGGAAACGGUAGCUAAUACCGCAUACCAUCAGCUGUGCCCAGAUGGGAUUAGCUUGUUGGUGGGGUAAGGGCGCACCAAGGCGACGAUCCCUAGCUGGUAUGAGAGGAUGACCAGCCAAACUGGAACUGAGACACGGCCCAUACUCCUACGGGUGGCAGCAGUGGGGACUAUUGCACAAGGGGGCAAAGCCUGAUGCAGCCAUGCCGAGUGUAGGAGGAAGGCCUUCGGGUUGUAAAGUACUUUCCGCGGAGAAGCGUUAUCCGCAGAAUGAGCACCGGCUAACUCCGUGCCAGCAGCCGCGGUAAUUC
rnacentral:rRNA from 1 species